rnacentral:lncRNA from 1 species
CCCAGGUUUGCAACUUAAUGCGUUUGCCAUCAAAUUCAAUGGUUAUUAUCUCGAAAUCAACUUUAUGUUUUUGUUUUUCUUAUUCUUUCUCAUUUAUUUCUGUGUAAUAUGAUUGGGAAUGCAGUGUACGAGUAUAUAUUUCUUUGUGUCUGGCCUCUGGGAGCAAAAGUUCAGAACCUCGUUGCAAAGCUUUUGUACAGAUUCAUCAUCAGGUACAGAAUCCCUUCCCUUGCAUCUUAUCUUGACAUGGCCAAUCCCUUCCUUUGUC